AGUACAAAUUAAAUGAGAGAAUGACUUUCCCAAAUAAGAGAAGUAGGUUCUAACUACUUGUUUUGGGGAUCAAGAACACAAUGAUUAUAUUUUGCUCUUUCCAAUUUGGCUAUAGAGAACUCUGAUAUCACGUGAGCCUUGGUCUUUGAUAUUAAGCAUUUUUGGUUUCUCUCUAGAAUGGAAAUUCUGUGAUCGGUCUGGAUCUAUUUUCAUCGAGUUUGAAGGACUCUUAGAGGGAUCCUUCAUCCUGUAAAUUCCUAUCCUAUUAGCCAUCUUGCAGCAACACUAGCAGAAUACAUUGUACAAAUGCAUAAAUUAUAUAGCAGCUGGUGAAUUAUAAAGCAACCAGCUGGUUCCCUAACAUUGGCAGGUUGCUUUCCCUUCCCCAGUGGGGACUUCUGGUGUUUGGGGGAAGUUGAGUCACUUCCUGGUGGAAAUCACAAACUGUCAAAUGUGGUGUGUUUUGUAAGUGAAUUUUCCACUUAUCUAAAGUAACAAUGGCUUAGCCAGAGCUCUAGGAGAAUCUGGAAUUUACUGAUACUAAGUUGUAUGACUUAAAGUAAAAUAUCCCAACUCAUUUGAGCUACUGAAUGGUGGAUUGGCUACUUAGGAUUUGACUCUGCUCCUCCAGAUAAGCUUUAUGGUAGCUCAAGAGCAAGCAGGGAACCAUUAGAAAAGGAGGCUGAGGGCAAAGGACCCUAUCAGGGUUACAUUCUGCAUCCAUUGGUUCUAGCAGCUGAGCUUUAUCACCAACAGAACUUUCUUAAUUAAGUCUAAUUAAUUUCCUUAGUUAAGUCAAAGCGAUGGUGUAAUCUCUUCCCUAAAGAAAGUUUUCAGUGUUUCGCAGAUUGAUAAUGAUACUACUAAUGAGGCUUAAUGCCAGAGGUAAGAUGCUUAGCUUUGCCAAUUCUGUAUUUAUACCUUGUGGUACUUGGUACCACAAUGCAAGUAUAAUAUUCCCUGCUAACAAUGAAUACGAAGGGACUCUGAACAUCACAGAGAGCUUUCCUAUGAUGACAGUGAUUUGCUUUAUACCUCGGUUUGUGUGUGUGUGUGUGUGUGUGUGUGUGUGUGUGUGUGUAUCUCUGUGUAUGAUACUCUCUAUGUAUUUAUUGAGACAGUUUCUCUUUGAACGUGGAACUCAUCAAUUUGGGUAGGCUGUAAUGCUAAGGAGCUCUAUAAACUCUCUUGUCUCUGUGUCCCCAAGGCUGAGAUGACAAAUCUAUGCCAACAUGCUCUGCCUUUAUGUGGAUAUUGGGGAUCUGAACCUACAUACAACCACAUGCUUCCAAAGCCACAACUCUCCAGCCUUUGCUACUCUCCAAUAAUGCUGCUUGUUCCACAUAUAAAGCAUCCUUUGUGGAUCUCGGGAAUAACUGUCCACCCACAGGUUAUACACAGAGGUAGCAGAGUGGCUUUCUCCCGACACGGUGCAUUUGGCGAGAGGGACCUGUGUUCUCCUGGACUCACACUGGGGCAUUUAACUCCAGUGAUAGGGUCCUGGAAAAGUCACUAACCCCCAGAGAUACCCUGAACCAGGGGUUUCCAAGUCUGUUGUCUCUCACCCAAGAAGAAUAAGGAAAUACAAGAAAGAAGUGAGCAAGGGUGGCCCCAGGAACCCCUCUGAAGAAGACAUCAACAGCUGAGGAAGCAGUGCUGUCAUAUCUCAGCUUCCUUGGUGGUCCAGCACUCUAACAUGUUUUAAAAAGCCAGAAGCCCUUGAAUCCUCCCACAGGCCACCUGCUGUGGCAAAACUAAGCAAACAAACAAAUAAAGCUUGCAAUAAGCCCAAUACCGAGAGUUUAAAUUCCAGACUUAAUAUCUAUUAGCUUUACAACUAAUCUCACUAACUUCAAGCAACUCCCUUUCCCAUAUGAAUGAUGGGAUGGGACCACUUACCACAGAGUUCCAAUCUAUGUACCUGGGCAGAUCAUGGGUACUUGAUAAUGUGGUUACCAACAUUAGAAGAGGCACAGUGGCCACUGAAGAUGAGUGGAUGAAGGAUGGUGUUGUGAAGGACAGUUGGGGAAAUCUUACUGAGUCCAUGGUUGGAGCUUGAUAAAACUGUCAGUUAUCCAAAGGAAGGCUUCUGGAAAUGAGAGUAGACCUUCAAGCAACACAUCUUCUGCCACAUGGCACAGGAUGCAAGGAGGCUCAUUGCCAACAGAUCUUUGCUGCAGAGGGUCUUCUGAUGCUGCAAGGACAACUAAAGGCAGAGGGAUGGGAAGGCUGUAUGAAGGAGAGGCACAACAUGUCACACUUGCCCUUGGAGAUAUCAGAGAUUGGUAGUAACCCUUCUGAUGCUGGAUUGGAUCCUGCCUGCAUGUGUGCCUGGCUCCAGGUAGAAGCCUAUAUUCUGUAUAUUCUAAUAUAUAUGUACUCAUCCAGCACCACUGUUAGGUAAGUUCUAUCCUAUCUUCUGUGUACAGUUGCCCCUGUAUUUUUAGUCAAAUUGGGGAGGGCACAUUGCUCUGGGACCCUUACCUCAGGAAGAAGGAGACUGGUCACAACUUAGGAUCAGCACCAGGGAGGUCUCAGUGCUUCAGGAAGGGUCUGUUCCAGGGUCCCUGGGGUCUCCUGGGUGGCUUUCUGCUCUUUAGUCCUCCAACCUCCACCCAGUGUAGCAACGGAGCUACAGUGCACAGUGUGUGGUCCAGGAUCUGGAAAGAGGCUAAGGGAGGGGACUGGACUGCAAGAGGUUACUCCAGUUCACUCCUGACACUCAUGCACAGUCUACUCAGCAGAUGCUAUAGUCCUGAUUCCUUUAUUGACUUCUGCUAUGUCUCUCUGAUCCCUUGGAAGGGUUUGUCCAGGCAGCUGCCAGCACACAGGAUGAGACUCAGGGGACUCAUCCCAGAGACACCCACAUGCAGUUCAAUCUAGAAGAAAAGGGCAGCAGCUGAAUAACAAGCAGCAGCCUAUUCUGGGAUUCUUCCAGAUCCUGUCACAAUUUUCAUGGGCCUAAGUUCCGGUGACCUGUGACAGAGGCUCUGAAUUUAUACUUUUCCAUGUUCCAGGAGGUACCCUGUAUCCCUCCCUGGGACUCUUUGCUCAGUUGUUCUGUUCUUUGUGCUGGAGAGAAAUGACGAAGAGAUCUUCGGUCUUGUAAUGGCAAGUAGUCUGUCCCUAAUAACUACUCCACAGUUUUUGUUCAUGACAUAAGGCAUGGCCCACAUUAAAUAGUACUUCUUUCAGGGCUGAGGACUGCUCCCCUCAUUGUUAUUUGCCCUCAGAGCCCU